UUUUCGCGCAUCACCGUCGCGCAGCGUCGUGCACUCUUCCAUCCUUCAUUCUCGAGCUUUCUUGUUCUUUCGCACCGCGUUUCACAGGUCGUUAGAUACCACGGAUCUCUUGAGAAAAUUACAGAAACCCACGUGGCAAGAAAAGUGGAUAUUUGGAAAAGGUUGAGCAGCUGACAGUCAACUGUGUAUUCGAAAUAUACAACAUACGUUUUAGAAAAUGACACGUAAAAGAAAAAGUAACGACUGCUAUUCAGAUAGACAUAAACGUCGACUCGUUGAACAACAAACUAAAUUAAGUAUUAUUAGAAUGAAGCACGUUAAGCACGUAUAGUACGAAAUGUAAAGUCGUGAACCAAACGCUUUUUUUAAAAUAUACAUGAAAAUAAGUAUAGUUUUUUCUCGAUUUAAACUUAUUAUUAUAAUAUUAUAA
rnacentral:lncRNA from 1 species